UCGGUUAGUAGUUUUUUUCUGGGUGGAAUUGCUUUUUCACUACCUGUGUGUAAGGGGAGGAAUCAUCUGUCCUAAGGACCUGGUGGAAGCUGAAAGGGGCUCUGUUGGUUUCUACAUAAAAGUGAAGAGUAAGUCUGUCCCUAAACUGCCUGGGCAGAAGGCCGGCUUCUCCCGGCAAAGGCCACGUGACACAUGGAGAAUUCAACAGCAACACUGAGUAAAUGUGUUGGAAUCUCACAUUUUAGUUUCCCAGUUACUGACUGUGCAUUCCCACAUUUACAAUUAUUGAAGUACGUUCAAGAAUGUAGAGUGUGAGCUUUAUAUAGUCUUGAGCAGUGCCCUGCUUUUAAGAGUGAAUUAUUUUUUAAAUGGAAAUGAGACUCAUCUCUCCUGGAUCUGAAGCUUGCCGUCAACUACCAGGACCUGAGACUCCCCCCGGCGCUUCCCAUUUUCCUCAGGAGGAAGCCCUGUUGUUUCAGUGGGUGUGUGGUGAAGGGCAAGUUCUCCUAACGUGAACGUCAUUAAUGAAAGUUCUGCCAUUUUUCUUCUUCUUUGUGAACAGCCCUUACCUGCUGCUGGCCUCGCAGGCAGGAUGUCCAUACGGAGGGUCGCCUGCUGCAGCGGGAGCCGGCCGACCACACACUCGGGCUGUGCAUUCAACAUCGCCUCCGUCAACUGUGCCCUGGAAGUGACUUUUGAGUCGACAAACCAAAAACUCAACAGCCAGUAAGAAACUAAGCUACUGUAAUAUACAGAAAAUACCCACAUCACAUACAGAGACAGAGCGUUACCUGGGUAUAUUAAACUAAACUCAGUCUUUACAGCUUCCAUCGUAUGCCAGCUCUGUCCGUUACACAACUUGAGGACAGUCUUGGUCUCUGCCCUUGAAAUGAGAUUGGUUGAAAGAAUAUUCUGUUGUUUAAAAUAUUUUAAUUUCCUGUAAUAGCAUCGCCAU
rnacentral:lncRNA from 1 species